ACUGGAGUUUGAUCCUGGCUCAGAGCGAACGCUGGCGGCAGGCCUAAUACAUGCAAGUCGAACGGUCUCUUCGGAGGCAGUGGCGGACGGGUGAGUAACGCGUGGGAAUAUGCCCUUUGGUACGGAACAACUGAGGGAAACUUCAGCUAAUACCGUAUGUGCCCUUCGGGGGAAAGAUUUAUCGCCAUUGGAGUAGCCCGCGUUGGAUUAGGUAGUUGGUGGGUAAAGGCCUACCAAGCCCACGAUCCAUAGCUGGUCUGAGAGGAUGAUCAGCCACACUGGGACUGAGACACGG
rnacentral:rRNA from 1 species